AAAGAUUUGAUUUUAAAGUAUUAAAAGAAAAUGGUGCGAAAUCGUAAGAGGAAGACGGAUUACGGUCUUCAUAGUGAAAAAGAUAUGGCAGAAGCGAUUAUUAUGGUUGAAAGUGGCGUGAGUCUUCGAAAGUGGCGUGAGUCUUCGAAAAGCAGCAAAUGCAAAGCAUGUCAGACAGAUGUCUAUAAGUUCCCAAAGGAUAUUUUAAAGAAAUUUAAUAUUUGU